rnacentral:rRNA from 1 species
UCGAGAAUCUUGGGCAAUGCGCGAAAGCGUGACCCAGCAAUGCCGCGUGCGGGAUGAAGGUCUUCGGAUUGUAAACCGCUGUCACUCGGGACGAAAAAUGACGGUACCGAGGGAGGAAGCCACGGCUAACUACGUGCCAGCAGCCGCGGUAAUACGUAGGUGGCGAGCGUUGUUCGGAUUUAUUGGGCGUAAAGGGUCCGCAGGAGGUUUGUUAAAUUCGGAGUGAAAUCCCGGAGCUCAACUCCGGAACUGCUUUGGAGACUGACGAACUAGAGUGCUGGAGAGGUAAGCGGAAUUCCAGGUGUAGCGGUGGAAUGCGUAGAUAUCUGGAAGAACACCAAAAGCGAAGGCAGCUUACUGGACAGUAACUGACUCUCAGGGACGAAAGCGUGGGGAGCAAACA